GCCCGGCUAGCUCAGUUGGUAGAGCAUCCGACUCUUAUUAAGGGUUAAACUACCUGGCAUACGUAAGGUAUCGGAUUGUCGUGGGUUCGAGCCCCACGUUGGGCG
rnacentral:tRNA from 1 species